rnacentral:rRNA from 1 species
GACGAACCGUGCAAACGUUGUUCGGAAUCACUGGGCUUAAAGGGCGCGUAGGCGGGCAAGCAAGUCGAAGGUGAAAUCCCACGGCUCAACCGUGGAAGUGCCCCCGAUACUGCUUGUCUUGAGGGAGAUAGGGGCGUGCGGAACUUCCGGUGGAGCGGUGAAAUGCGUAGAUAUCGGAAGGAACACCGGUGGCGAAGGCGGCGUUCGUGGACUGCAACUGACACUGAGGAACGAAAGCCAGGGGAGCAAACGGG